UUGUGGCAACACUUGAAGGUUUCAAACAGGAUCAAGCCCCAUCACAAUAGGGUGCUGUACAAACACCUAGCUGAUUAAGAUCUGAUUCAUCCUGUGCUAGGGACUCCUAUCUUGCACUUGCAAGGACAGAUUAAUUGACUGAGGUGUUACAGCUAGAACUCCUAUCAUCCUAAAGCAUCCCAACAGUGGGAAACUAGGAAAAUAAAACCUACAAGGGCUGAGAAAAAGAGAAGUAGGGAGAAGCAGAGACAGCGUGAUGGGCAGGGUGACAGGCUGGUGUAGCAGGGCAAUAGGCAGUGAAUAGAGCAGGGUAACAGGCAGUUAUAGGGGCAGCCAGAGCAGGGUGACAGGGAUGUGAGGAAGGGCCAUGAGGAUAACAGGUGCCCCAGGGGCAUGUCAGAAGAGGGGAUGUGGGAGGCAGGGGGAAUAGGGGGUGAUGUAGUGGGAGGGAGGGAGGAACAGGCCAUGGGGCACAGAGGGGGCUGAGGUACUGUGCGCAAGGGGGGGCCAGGCCGUGGGGCACAGAGGGGUUGAGGUACUGGGCGCAAGGGGGGGGGAACAGGCCGUGGGGCACAGAGGGGCUGAAGUACCGGGCACAAGGGGGGGGAACAGGCCGUGGGGCACAGAGGGGCUGAGGUCCUGGGCACAAGGGGGGGAACAGGCCGGGGGGCACAGAGGGGCUGAGGUCCUGGGCACAAGGGGGGGAACAGGCCGUGGGGCACAGAAAGGCUGAGGUACUGGGCACAAGGGGGGGAACAGGCCGUGGGGCACAGAGGGGCUGAGGUCCUGGGCACAAGGGGGGGAACAGGCCGUGGGGCACAGAGGGGCUGAGGUCCUGGGCACAAGGGGGGGAACAGGCCGGGGGGCACAGAGGGGCUGAGGUCCUGGGCACAAAGGGGGGCCAAGCUGAGGCAGCAGGUGCAGGGCCGCAGUGGGGCUGAGGUACCGGGGGCAAUGCGGGGGCACAGGGGGAGCGGAGGUAUCCGGGCGCGGGGGGCA